rnacentral:snRNA from 12 species
CUACCUAUCUCGGCCUUUUGGCUAAGAUCAAGUGUAGUAUCUGUUCUUAGCAACUUAACCGUUGCUAUGAGAUUCAAAGAAUCUCGUCUCAAUUUUUACUAAGGCUUUACCAAUUAAGGAAUUCGGCCUUGCUAAUCAUUUAUUAUUUAUCUAAUAAAUCAAUAACGUUGGAAAGAUAUAUGAAUU